UCUAAGCUAACGUGACACAUUUGCAAGCAUAGCUGCACAUGUUCUGGUUUAAUUGGGAAAUCUCUCCUUUGACUUUCAGAAUAGCACAGAAGCAGAGACUUUAUGUCUAAGCAGACCUAGAUUCAGAGCAGACCCGAAGCUGCUUGAAGAAGGCUGGAGGUAUGUUAAGGAGACAAGAGCUGUCAAGAAGCAGGGAUGUCUCUGGAAAGGGUGAGCAGCUGACGUCCUUUAUGGUUUAGUAGACACCUGUUAAUUUGUCUGCCUGGCAUUUAUCCAUCUUCCUCAUGAACCUGUAAUAUUUUUGUGCUAUGCCAGAGAUUGACUGAAACAACUAUAGAAUCUGAUAGCUUCUUUAGGACCAAGGAGCAAGAUGGUGACAUAAGAAUGCUAUCAAUCUGCUCCCUCUUCUCUACCUCCCUCCAACAAUUACGCUCUUGGAACCCAGUCAUCAUUCUGAGAGAAGCCACAGGAUCUCUAUGAAGUUGCCUACAUGAAUAUAAACUAAGGCCCCGGGCUGACAGCACCUGGACGAGCUUCCAGCCGGCAUCCAACAUCAAGGUGUCAGCAUAUACUUCCUCUGUCACCCAGGAUGAAGUGCAGUAGUGCAGCCUUGGCUCACUUCAACUUCUGCCACCAGGUUCAAGCGAUUCUCCUGCCUCAGCCUCCCAAGUAGCUGGGGUUACAGACAUGCAUCACCAUGCCUGGUUAAUUUUUGUAUUUUUAGAAAAGAUGAGGUUUUACCAUUUUAGCCAGGCUUGAACUCCUGACCUUAAGGGAUCCACCUGCCUCAGCUUCUAGUGGCCACUUCUUGUGCAAACCUCUUCUCUUGCAAUUAAUAUUGAAAUUACUCAUUUAUUCACAUUUUUUCCAAAUGCAAUGUGAAAAUAUUAAGGACAAGAAUCCUAUCUUAUAUUUUAAUUUUUUAUUAUGAUUACCUAGAAUACUGCCUCAUCUAUGAUGCAUUUAUUAAUUGGAAAGAUGCCUAAAAAGGUAUCCACAGCAACUAUCAUAAUUAGAAUGUCUACUUUUAUCUGUGAAGCUUGGGAUGAUAUUUAUGUCUAUUUAUGGCAAAAUGUUAUUCCCUAAUGAAAAGGAACCUGUAUAUAUUCAGUUCACCAGAGGCAGAAGGCAGCUCUGUUAGCUAACAUAUUAAAAGACAUCCAAUAAUAGAAAUCACUCACAGAAACUUAAUACCAAGUUGACGGAUAAGACAAAGUGACUCCAUCUGAAGAACCACCAUGAUGAUGAAGACUAAUGAGAGACAGUUUGAGCAGUCAGAAAUUAAGCUUAAGUAAACAAAAAGAAAAAUUAUAUCUAUGUUAUAGUUGCCAGAUUGAACAACUAAAAUAAAAUACAGAAUACCCAGUUAAAUUUGAAUUUCAGACAUGCAAUGAAUAAUUUUUUUUUUUCUUUUGGGACAGUCUUGCUCUUUCACUCAGACUGGUGUACAGUGGCUCGAUCUCAGCUCACUGCAACCUCCGCCUCCCAGGUUUAAGAAAUUCUUGUGCCUUAGCCUCCCAGGUAGCUGGGAUUACAGGCGUGCACCAGCAUGCCCAGCUACUUUUUGUAUUUUUAGUAGAGACGGGGUUUCACCAUGUUGGCCAGGCUGCUCUCAAACUCCUGAUCUCAAGUGAUCCACUAGUCUCAGCUUCCCCAAGAGCCAGGAUUACAGAACAAUGAUUAAAUUUUUAGUAAAGCCAUGGCCUAUAUAUCAUUUGUAACACACAAAAAAAGUUAUUUUUUAAAUUUGUAAUUUGAAUUUAACUGGGCUUUCAGGAUUUCAUCUGGCAAUCCUAAUCAGUAUACUGGAUCAGAUUUAAAUGAUAAUUAGGACCCAAGGAGGGCCUUUGAGAUGCACUUGAAGUCUGGUUGUCAGCUACUCAUUAAGAUCUAACUAAAGUGUGACAAGAACCUCCCUUUCACUGUUAUAUUAAUAAUAAAAAAGAAAGACAAAAAAACCCCACCACAACUGUUGCUGAGACUCUCAACAAAACAUCCAGAAGUUUCAUGGGCUCUUUCAUCUUGGACUUCCUACCCCUUUGGAACUCUUGUUCUCUGCAUUUUGUCUGAUAACUAUUCUUUCAUUUUUUUCCUAAAUGAAGUUAAAUUUUUUAAAAUCAUUAAUAGCCAUACAUUUUUAUCUGCAUUGUUUAUUUUCUGGUUGAUUGGGUUGAAGGAUGCAAAGUGUUGUGUCUGGAUGUGUCUGUGAGGGUGUUGCCAAAGGAGAUGAACAUUUGAGUUAGUGGACUGGGAGAUACAGACCCGCCCUCCAUCUAGGUGGGUACGAUCCAAUCAGCUGCCACCAUGGUUAGGAGAUAAACCGGCACAGACACAUGAAAGGACUAGACUGUCUGAGACUUUGUCUGUGCUGAAUGUUUCUAGACAUUGAACAUCGGACUCCAAGUUCUUCAACUUUAUACUGUUGGAGUUUCACCAGUGGUUUCCCAGGGGCACUGGAACCUCCAGCCAGCAGCAGACUGAAGCCUGCACUGUUGGCUUUCCUACUUUUGAGGUUUUGGGACUCAGACUGGCUUCCUUGCUCCACAGCUUGCAGACAGCCUACUGUGGGACUUCACCUUGUGAUCCUGUGAGUCAAUACUUCUUAAUAAACUCCCCUCUUUAUAUACAUCUAUCCUUUUAAUCCUGUUCCUUUAUAAAGCCCUGACUAAUAUCAUGCUUAGGGAAACAGAAGAGGUUUUAGUUUUUUAACUUUUCACAUCACUGUAGAAUAAACUUAAGUCCUUGUUUCAAACA